CCUGGAUCACAGCUGGCCUCUGUGAGUCCGUUUCGACAUGCGCAAUCGCACGUGGACUCGUCCAGAACCCUGUUGGGCCCGCAGAGCGCUAGUAGACCCGAGUCCAGCGUCUCUGGAAACCACAUGGAAAGAAAAAAUAUCAUCCUGAAUCAUCUGCUGUAACAUCCAAACACUCUGAGGGCAAAUCAGUUACUGACAACUGUAAAAUAAAUUACGGGGAUGUCAGACAGACAAUCAGACGGGGAAAGAAGAAGAGGAGAGACAGACAGGAGGCCGACAUCAAGACGAGGAGGAGGAGGAGGAGGAAGAGGGAGAAAGAGGUGUGCCUGGGAAACGCUCGAAUGAGAAAACAUCCGAUUUUUGGGCCAGUCACCGCCAGCCUUCUGCAAGGAUUAAAGACGCACACUCUCAUGCACGCACAUGUCGGCAAGUUUCUGCUUGCAGUAUGCUUUAUGUGUUGAAAUCCUCACAACCAAGCUCCACAUUCCAGUCAUUGCUUUCUCAAUUUCAUCAUGUGAGCAGGAUGCAUAGAAUAAGAGAUGAUACAGAGGGGCGUUUAUGACCAGUGCUUGCUUUUACCUGUGCAGAGGAGAACUUAAACCAAGUGAUUUUAAUAUUUGUCAAAAGAAGCUAAACCACAAACCAAACGUAGCUAAAGCCUCGCGAAAAGUCAAAGAUUUUGGCUGUAAUCGGGUGCAAAACGUAACGAAAGACAGAAUGAUGUGGCUCAAAAGAAGGACGUUUAUGUGGAGGCUAAAAGGAAGAGAUUGAUGCUUCAUUAGAGGGAACAGCAGAGAACUUUAACCUUGGUGAUAAAACUAAAAAUCAUCCAGGAGUCAUGCAAACAAACAAACCAAAUGUUACUACAGCCUCACCAAUAGUUAAAAACUUGAGGCAUAACAAAAGUAAUAAAAGAUUGCAUGAUUCCCUAAAGGAGGAAAAUUAUGUGCCCGUGAAAAAACGAUUCAGUUUACAGUAAUCACUGUUUUGAUUGUUUAAUAGCCGCCGUGUCUGUGACGGGUGAACUUCUUGAACAUGCCUAAAGUGAAAAUCUCUGACACUGGCUGCUCUCAUACAGGCAGGAUUUUUGAGGCUCACGCAUCAUAAAGGCCAAUAUCAGUUUUCACGCUGCAAACAAGAUGAAUGUUUGUGUUUUGUUAUCACAUGUGGCCGACAAAUUUGUUAAGCUCUUCAUGAGAUGGAGAAACACAGUUGUAGUCAUUAGAAGAACAAAAAGAUUGUCAAGUUUGGGAACUGUUCAGAAAUAGUAGAAAUCUUUCCAAAGUCCAACUGAAUAGGAAAACAGAACUCGUCUUUGGUGUCUUUAAAUACAAUAAACAACAAGAAAAAGGAACAUUUAAUCUGUCGAAAAGCCGUAGUGUAUCAGAAUGAAUAACACAGUCUGA